rnacentral:rRNA from 1 species
CCCUUAGAUGUCCUGGGCCGCACGCGCGCUACACUGAACGGAUCAGCGCGUUUUCCCUUCCCGAGAGGGACGGGUAACCUGCUGAACCCCGUUCGUGGUAGGGAUCGGGGCUUGCAAUUAUUCCCCGUGAACCAGGAAUGCCCAGUAAGUGCAAGUCAUAAGCUUGCGUUGAUUACGUCCCUGCCCUUUGUACACACCGCCCGUCGCUACUACCGAUUGAGUGAUCCGGUGAAUAAUUCGGACUGCAGCAGUGUUCAGUUCCUGAACGUUGCAGCGGAAAGUUUAGUGAACCUUAUCACUUAGAGGAAGGAGAAGUCGUANCA